rnacentral:lncRNA from 11 species
GCAAGCAAAAUUUAUGGAAUAGGAUCACGACUUUCCAAAUCAGGACUACACAAUCAAACAGGAAGACACACUUUCGUGCCAGGAACAGAACUUUAUUAUGACUUUUUAGAGGCUGCGUGGCCACACGUGCAGACAGGUUUGGUAGUGGACUUGCGCCUGGGAACUACAGGGCGAUGUUCCUGGGUUAUGCAUGUCUGUUCCUGAUCGCUUUUAUCCUAAAGGCAUGGGGAAAGUGGAUUACAGGGCAAAAACUUUGUCCUGGCAAGAGAAACAUCGCCACCCACCCACUGUGGCACACAAAGUUUGGGUCUCAUGGCCCCUGAGUCCACCCUUCAAAGCAGAAGAGCAGAAAAGGGAGAUGCAUGGGGCCACUCUUCCUUGCUUCCAUCCUGCUGGGGGCCCCUCCCUUCCAGGAGCAUCUCCAGGCUGCGGGUUGUUUUCCUUUGAAAAGGUUCCGUUCUUGCCAUGGAGACCGAGGGUUCUGAGAAACCUCAAGUCAGUUGGCGCUGGCAUUGCCUUCCUGAGCACCAAGAUGGGCAGAGAGCACUCCAGACAGCUCCCACUGAGGCCCAGCCGGGAGCGAUGCCUCUGCGCCAGAAGUCCCUCCGCGUGCCCCCCGAUGGACGGCCCUGGACUCGUGGUUCAGGAAGGUCAGGACGAGGCGCUCGCUUCGCCGCGUGAGCCCCGAAAACGUAGCUGUUCCUGUGGAUCCUCCAAGGUAAGCCCUGGCCCCCCGUUCCCUUCGGGGUCCCCCCACCCUA